rnacentral:lncRNA from 9 species
AGAGCCUGUUGCAUGUCAGUCUCCCCCACCCCCUGGGAGCCCCGUGAGGACAAGGGACAGGGGUGCCUUCACCUGUGUCUGCGAGGCCUGGGAUGACGUUUGGCCCCAUGAAGUGUGUGCCAUGACUAUAUGCGGAAUUAAUUAUUGCAAAUAAAGACAGAAUCAGAACCAAUGGGCCGGAUGCUGGGAGCAGCAGCUGGAGAAGCAAGAAGGAAAAAGACGAGGAAUAGACCUUUCCUUGUACCUGGUGGGCUGGAAAGGAACCUCAUGAGACCCGGAUUCUACCACAGGCCCAGGCACAACUUGCUUUGAUCUUAGGACAGGUCAGUGCCACUCUCUGGAUCGGCUUCCCUCUGUCGGGAAGCGCUGGACAGGCUCGUGUUCAAGCCCCCUUCCGUUUCUGACACCUGCUGUGGAUGGAGGCCCUCGACGGAGGGCAAGAACUCCACCCACCCAGCAUUGCCUUAUCUCCAGUACCUCUUCUGUUCUCAACACCAUCAAGGCAGCUUUGCGGUAAGGCUUCAGUGGUGUACCCAGCGCGCACACAGCUAAACCUCAGCCGCAGACUCUCGGGGACCCCCCAUAUCAACUUAAAGGACCCCUUUUCUCCAUAGGCUCCUCCUUACCAAUGACUCUCCCUGUGGGUUCCCUCUGUCUCAAGCCCUGAAUCCUGACCUCUGUUUUCUCAGCUCAGUGGGACCGUGUGCUGUGUUUGGACUCCAGCUCAUCGUCUUCUUGUUUGCACCAUUUCCUACAAGAAGGUUUGUCGUCUUUCUUUUAUUCUUUCUUUCUUUCUUUUUUUUUUUUUUUUGUCUUUUUGUAUUUUCUAGGACCACACCUGCGGCACAUGGAGGUUCCCAGGCUAGGGGUCCAGUUGGAGCUGCAGCUACCAGCCUACACCAGAGCCACAGCAACGCAGGAUCCGAGCCACACCUGCAACCUAUACCACAGCUCACGGCAACAGCGGAUCCUUAACCCGCUGAGCGAGGCCAGGGAUGGAACCCAAAACCUCAUGGUUCCUAGAUGGAUUCUUUAACCACUGCCAUGACGGGAACUCCUGGUUGUUGUCUUUUCUUAAUUUGUUUGCCAGUACACAGUGCAUUUUCCCUUCUGGAGACUCUUAUGAUAUUCACUUUAUCACUGGUUUUAAACAAGUUGAUUUAACUUGUUUAAAUCAAGUUUAAUG